rnacentral:misc_RNA from 1 species
GAUGAAGAACGCAGCGAAAUGCGAUAAGUAGUGUGAAUUGCAGAAUUCAGUGAAUCAUCGAAUCUUUGAACGCACAUUGCGCCCCUUGGUAUUCCAUGGGGCAUGCCUGUUCGAGCGUCAUUUGUACCUUCAAGCUCUGCUCGGUGUUGGGUGUUUGUCUCGCCUCUGCGUGUAGACUCGCCUCAAAACAAUUGGCAGCCGGCGUAUUGAUUUCGGAGCGCAGUACAUCUCGCGCUUUGCACUCAUAACGACGACGUCCAAAAGUACAUUUUUACACUCUUGACCUCGGAUCAGGUAGGGAUACCCGCUGAACUUAAGCAUAUCAAUAAGCGGAGGA